rnacentral:rRNA from 1 species
CCGCCGGCGACCGGCGGCACGGGUGAGUAACGCGUAUGCAACCUGCCCGUUUCAGCGGGAUAACCCGGAGAAAUCCGGCCUAAUACCGCAUGUGGCCGAGGGGAGGCAUCUUCUUUCGGCCAAAGGAGGCGACUCCGGAGACGGAUGGGCAUGCGUGACAUUAGCUUGUUGGCGGGGUAACGGCCCACCAAGGCGACGAUGUCUAGGGGUUCUGAGAGGAAGGUCCCCCACACUGGUACUGAGACACGGACCAGACUCCUACGGGAGGCAGCAG